rnacentral:rRNA from 1 species
UGAGGAAUAUUGGUCAAUGGGCGCAAGCCUGAACCAGCCAUGUCGCGUGCAGGACGACUGCCCUAUGGGUUGUAAACUGCUUUUGUAUGGGAAGAAACGACGGCACGAGUGCUGUUUUGCCGGUACCAUACGAAUAAGGAUCGGCUAACUCCGUGCCAGCAGCCGCGGUAAUACGGAGGAUCCGAGCGUUAUCCGGAUUUAUUGGGUUUAAAGGGUGCGUAGGCGGGAUAUUAAGUCAGUGGUGAAAGUUUGACGCUCAACGUUAAAAUUGCCAUUGAUACUGGUUUUCUUGAGUACAGUUGAGGUAGGCGGAAUGUGGUGUGUAGCGGUGAAAUGCAUAGAUAUACCACAGAACACCGAUUGCGAAGGCAGCUUACUAAGUUGUAACUGACGCUGAAGC